rnacentral:tRNA from 1 species
CUGGGUGUAGCUCAGGAGCAGAGCUCGCGGCUUGGGACCGCGAUGGCGUUGGUGCAAGUCCAACCUCCCAGA